rnacentral:rRNA from 1 species
GUGCCAGCAGCCGCGGUAAGACGAACCGUGCAAACGUUGUUCGGAUUCACUGGGCUUAAAGGGCGCGUAGGCGGGUGGUCAAGUCAGAGGUGAAAUCUUUCGGCUCAACCGGAAAAGUGCCCCUGAUACUGGCCAUCUCGAGGGAGGUAGGGGCAUGUGGAACUUCCGGUGGAGCGGUGAAAUGCGUAGAUAUCGGAAGGAACGCCGGUGGCGAAAGCGACGUGCUGGACCUCUUCUGACGCUGAGGCGCGAAAGCUAGGGGAGCAAACGGGAUUAGAUACCCCUGUAGUCC